GAUUUUUUUUUCUCUGUGUGCAUUUUCCUAUGUUUUCUUUCAUUUUAUAAAUACAUGUAUAAAUAAUUUUUAAAAGAGAUAUAUAAUACAACAUUGCAUAUUGAAAGUAUCUUGGGGAAAACAGUCUUAAACUAUUUUAAUAACCCAAAGUCAUAGCUGUUAGCCUGUAUUAUUUUUAAAAUUUCAAACAAUCUUGUUUAGAGCAAGUAAAAUUACUGUCAUGCAACAAACUUGCAACUUUGAAAAUAUAACACUGGUUCACAAAUGAUUACAUACAUGGAGUUUGAUUUUGAAUUGAAAAGCUUUGUGUAUAAUCUAUAAGUAGAAACAAGUGAUUUUCUUUUAAUACUUGAGUAGGCCGAAUCGUCUGUAAGGUAGCUAUGGAUCUUUGGUUCUUUGCUUUCUUUCAAUAAGAGUACCAAAUCCUCUGAUGUGCACAUGUAGAGUUGAGUACUGAAUGGGUAGGCAUCAUCUGAUUGGCUGAAUUCAGGUAAGUAAUUAUCUUAGUCUAACACAGUUGGCCGCAGUAGGGUGUCAUCAGUUCAGAAGGUCACAGUACCCAAGACGCUGAGGUUGCAGGACUCAAAUUUCAUACAUGUACUCGGGUAAGCUUAAAGUCUUUAAAAAUUACUAAAUUGACUAAUUCCAAGGUAGGUAACAAUGUGAGUAUAGGAGUGAGAGUACCAAACCUUGGAUGUGCACAUGGCUUUAUUUGUGGCGCAUGUAGAGUCGAGUACUGAAUGGGUAGGCAUUAUCUGAUUGGCUAAAUUCAGGUAAGUAAUUAUCUUAAUUUUAAAGUAAAAAUAUUAAUGUUUGAAAUGAAUGAUGGAAUGGGGAAAUAUUAUAGAAAGUAUAGAAAAGCCAGGGGAAGUUUUAGGAGUGGGGAUUGAUUUUUGACAUAACAUGUUAUUUACUGCCGAUCUCUCAAAGUUGCAGAAAAGGGCCAUUUUGACCUAUAAACGCCAUGGGACCCUAUAUUUUUAGCUCACCUGAGCCGAAGGCUCAAGUGAGCUUUUCUGAUCAAAAUUUGUCCGUCGUCUGUUGUUGUCUUUGUCGUCGUCGUUGUCGUUGUCGUAAACUUUUCACAUUUUCAUCUUCUUCUCAAGAACCACUGGGCCGAUUUCAACCAAACUUGGCACAAAGUAUUUUUGGGUGAAGGGGAUUCAAGUUUGUUCAAAUGAAGGGCCACGCCCUUUUCUAAGGGGAGAUAAUCAUGAUUUUUAAAAAAAUUAAUGGCAUUUUAACAAAAUCUUCUUUUCAAGAACCACUGGGCCAGGAAAGAUGAAACUCGUGUGGAAUCAUCCUCGGGUAGAGUAGAUUCAAGUUUGUUCAAGUCAUGACCCCCGGGGGUAGGGCGGGGCUAAAAUGGCCGAUCAAAGUUUUACAUAGGAAUAUAUAGGAAAAAUCUUUUAAAAAUCUUCUUCUCAAGAACCACUGGGCCAGGAAGAAUGAAACUCAUGUGGAAUCAUCCUCAGGUAGAGUAGAUUCAAGUUUGUUCAAGUCAUGGCCCCGGGGGGUAGGGCGGGGCCAAAAUGGCCGUUCAAAGUUUGUAUAGGAAUAUAUAGGAAAAAUCUUUUACAAAUCUUCUCAAGAACCAUUGAAACAGGAAAGAUGAAACUCAUGUGGAAUCAUCCUCAGUAGAGUAGAUUCAAGUUUGUUCAAGUCAUGACCCCCGGGGGUAGGGUGGAGCCAAAAUGGACGAUCAAAGUUUUACAUAGGAAUAUAUAGGAAAAAUCUUUUAAAAAUCUUCUCAAGAACCAUUGAAACAGGAAAGAUGAAACUCGUGUGGAAUCAUCCUCAGGUAGAGUAGAUUCAAGUUUGUUCAAGUCAUGACCCCCGGGGGUGGGGCGGGGCUAAAAUGGCCGAUCAAAGUUUUACAUAGGAAUAUAUAGGAAAAAUCUUUUAAAAAUCUUCUUCUCAAGAACCACUGGGCCAGGAAAAAUGAAACUCAUGUGGAAUCAUCCUCAGGUAGUGUAGAUUCAAGUUUGUUCAAGUCAUGGCCCCCGGGGGUAGGGCGGGGCCAAAAUGGCUGUUCAAAGUUUUACAUAGGAAUAUAUAGGAAAAAUCUUUAGAAAUCUUCUUCUCAAGAAGCACUGGGCCAGGAAAGAUGAAACUCAUGUUGAAUCAUCCUCAGGUAGUGUAGAUUCAAGUUUGUUCAAGUCAUGACCCGCGGGGGUAGGGCGGAGCCAAAAUGGCCGAUCAAAGUUUUACAUAGGAAUAUAUAGGAAAAAUCUUUUCAAGAACCAUUAAAACAGGAAAGAUGAAACUCAUGUGAAAUUAUCCUCAGGUAGUGUAGAUUCAAGUUUGUUCAAGUCAUGACCCCGGGGUAAGGGUGUGGCAAAAAUAGCUGACGAAAGUUUUACAUAGAAAUAUAUAGGGAAACCCUUUUAAAUCUUCUUUUCAAGUACUUCAAAGCCAGGAUUAGUAAUAUUUGUAUGGAAUCAUCCUCGGGUAAUGUAGAUUCUAGUUCGUUCAAAUUAUGAUCCCCUUGGGGGUUAAAAUUCACCCCCCCCCCAAUUUAAAUUAACUUUCAGUUCUGAUCUGAUAUGUGUUUUUUCCUAGCUGAUGUGCUCAGGUGAGCGCUGUGGCCCCUGGGCCUCUUGUUUUCAGUAUAUUUUGUAAGUGCAAAGAAAAAUUUUUCCAAUGAUACCAAGGAUAUGUCUGAAAUUACAAUAGGUAAGUACUCAGAGGGCCUAAGAUUUGUAUUGAGUUCUGUAGGAAAUUAAUUGGUACUCUUUUCCCUAUCGAGUAAGCUAAGAAUAAUGCCAGAUAUAUUUGAGACCCUGAAGGAGAAAUUAGCCUCAUUAAGUGAAAAGGUUGGGGGUUGCUGGCUUUGGACAAGGGGGAGGGCUAGAAAUGGGUAUUGGAAGAUGAGGGUAAAUUGGCCGGAGGAGGGCAGUACAGUCGAGAGGAUGCAUCAGGUAGCUCUUAUGGAAGAGAAGAGACAGACUAGGUCGCAGUUUGCACUUGCAGGCCUGGAGGUCAGUUAUCUCUGCCAUGAGAAGUUAUGCAUCGACCCGAUGCACCUUACUCUGGAGCCGCAUGCAACUAACCAGGAGAGGAUCCACUGCAAGGACCAGGGGUUUUGUUGUGGGGCUCACCACCUUAAAUGCAUUUUUUAUAGUAAUUUAAAAUAUAUUUUUUGAAUAUCAACUUGUUUAUUUCCUGUUUUCGAAUAAUUGUGUUCAGGGGGAUUUCUCUUAUUGCCUCGGGCAUUCAGCUAACAUCAUGUUUUUCUUGUAUUUUACUUCUUCCUGAUGUUCUUCUUAAAGUUUAUAUAAUAUCUUACGUUUAAUUACCCUUUUUGUUUUAUACGAUUGAGUUUUCUGAUACGAUUUAUUUUAUUCAUGCUCAUUUUUUUAUUUUAUUCAGGGUCUGGUCCACUUGGCCACCAGUGGGGAUGGGGACACCAACCCCUGCACAGAGACUUUGGAGUGGGCUGCCCAGACCAUGAUUUGAUGAGUGAGCUGCACUGUGGGUCCGACCAGCAAAGUUUCUUGUGAAAGUAACAUUUCAAGGCAGGGAUCGUCGCAGAGUUCUGUUGAAGCUUUCAACCUUUUGCGAGUUGGUGUUUUUGAUCGUCCUGUCCAGUACAGCUGGAGACAACCUCUUAGAGAUGCAGGCAUGGAGCCUUGCCUCAUUUUCCGUGGAAGACGGUAUUGUAAAACCUUGACCUAAAUAAGAAAUCUUGCUAACCCAGUUAUUUAUUACUUUCCCUUUGCACACCAGAGAAUGUUUUCUGCAUGAUGCAUGGUCUCCCAUGUAACAUUUCACAAUUGCAAGUUUGGCAUAUGAGAGCUUGUUUUUUAAUUUAUCUGCAUCUCCAGCAUAUGUACUGCAUGAGCUUGAUUAAUCUCAGCUGUACAUCUGUCAACAGCAUCUAGGGCAAAAUUAUGCAAAAGUUUGGUGUUUUUCUGCUUUAAUUGGUUCUCUUUGGCAUAACCUCUGAAAGUUUCUGAUCUCUUUUAAUUGACUUUCUGAUUGACUUGGACAAGUGUCGAGUGUCAAUAUAGUGAACUGGGAUAUUUUGCAGCAGAUUGUCCUUAUAGAGGGAAUCUGCAGCUCAACCAACAGAGCUGUCCAUGUCAAUGAUUACCUUGAGUCCAUCUUUGCAGAGGAGUUCCGCCAUCCCCUCCCGAGUCCAAGUGAAGUCAUCCUGAAUGGUAUGGUGCAUGGGUAGAUUUGCCCCACACACCCCCCAGGACUACACUGAUGGUUUGAAGUGCCCUCAUCAAAGACUUUCUCGUAGGAGGGGGAGUGUUGGUAGAAGGAAAGAUUUUCCUCAUUCCAUCAUUGCCUAUAGGGGUUUGACUAAGGCCAACUUGAAGCACAUAGUUAACAGUGGCAGCUUUCCUACCUGGGGAUUUGGUCUCUACCUCCUCAUACAGAUUGUACCGCCUUGAUACAUAUAGACACUUGGUACAUUGAAGGCCCAUCCGGCUUCCCAGACCACGCCUCUCAUCAAAUGCCAGAUCUCACUCAAGCGUUCCAUCGCACCCCGUAUUCCCUUGCAGGUGGAGAGAGAUCACCUCAUUCCAGAUCUCGGCUGUUUUCUCAAGGUGUAGCAGUAAAUAGGAAUUUUGAUUAGCCAAUCUUAGUAAGGCCAAAUAAAAUUGAAAUCUUGGUUCUCAGGCCCGCCCGCAUCUGUUUUGAGGUAACCGCAUUGCUGAUUUUAUUGUUUUUUUGAUAAAAUAAAAAGUUGAUAUUGCGGAGACCAAUCCGGGAAAAUAAUUUCCGACCUCAUUUGUUUUGUAGUUUAGUAUUCAAAUAUCACUUCCGGUAGCAAUUUACAAUGAGAUUUUGGCUCCUUCGCUUGAAAAUACAUUCAAGGACAUUACCUACGAUAUUUACGUUGUUAAGCAAUGGAUAAAGCAGUAAUUUUGACCAGAAAUAGAAAGUAUAUCUGUAAUUUAAAAAAUUAUCUUUAUGUUUAAGAAAAUUCGGAAAUUAAAAAUUAAAAAAAUACCUCCCUCAUCUAAUUUUUUGCCAUUUAAAUGAAAAAUAAAAUGCCGCCCUCCCGCAUCUGUUUUGGAGAAAGUUGGCCUGAGAACCAAGGAAUUAAAUUUACAUAGCCUAAAUAUACCAUUUUUCAUUUGCUUGAGACAGAUGGAAGUUUUCAGUACAUGAGAGCACAUAUUAGAGUUACUUCCCUUAGACUGUCUGACAAGACAUAAGAAAUUUUAACAUCAUAUAAAUUUAAUUCUUUGAAAUGAAUGCUUCUGAUUUCUUUUCUUAUGUACCUAUAUGACUUUCAACUGCAUGUAUUACAUUUUACUUUGCAUGUAUUAAUUUACAUUUAUUUACUUGUAAUAGUAUGUAAUAUGUAUCCUACCCUAGUAUUGUCCAUUUUUUCCCAUAUUUAGUUAUAUGAAAGGUAAGUAAGACUUGAUUUGUUAGAAUUUUUAUGAACUAUUGCUCAAUUAUAAAUGUUUUAUACAAAAUUUGACUUACUGUUCUGAUUCAUUUGUAUUUAGGCACUUUGGAGGGCUUUCAACUUUCGGUCCCUUCGGCCUAAGGAGAUAGUGGCACAUGCGCCGCACGAGCAUUUCCUGCCCUUCCGCAGCUAUAGGAGUUUCUGAAACCAUCUGAUGCAUCUGCUGGGACAGUCUGUUGUACCGUGCAGAACUGUUUUUCAAGAAAAGUAAAAAAGGAAACGGCUGUUGAUGUUGAACAACUCCCUUGAACCAACUUUAUCUUUCCCACUUUUCUUCAAAGUGAAAUGAAUGAAUAUCAUUGAGUGAAAGAGUUAAACUUUUGAAAAGAUUUCUGAUUUUAAUUAAAUGGCAGAUGUUUUAAGUUCACCAUUCACUUUUGCCAUAUUUUAUGGUGCUAAUUAAACAUAGAAAUGACCCUGUCGUAAAAAGGAAUAGGCUUAUAAUGAUAACCAUUUUUGUUAGUCAUUCUAUUUUUCCAACAUACUAUUAUAUGUAAUUAGUUUUCUGGAUUUUAUACAUGUAUAUAGAUAAUAUGCUAAUUUAAUAAAGAUGAC